ensembl:misc_RNA Y_RNA Y RNA
GGCUGGUCCAAUGAUACUGAGUCAUCUCACGUGAUUGUUCACAGUCAGUUACAGAUGAGAUUCCUUGUUCUACUUCUUUCCUCCCCUCUCACUACUGCACUUGACUAGCCUCAA